AUUGAACGCUGGCGGCAUGCCUAACACAUGCAAGUCGAACGGUAACAGGAAGAAGCUUGCUUCUUUGCUUACGAGUGGCGGACGUGUGAGUAAUGUCUGGGAAACUGCCUUAUGGAUGGGGAUAACUACUGGAAACGGUAGCUAAUACCGCAUAAUGUCUCAAGACCAUAGAGGAGGACCUUCGGGCCGCUUUCCAUCGGCUUUUCCCAGAUGGGAUUAGCUAGUAGGUGGGGUAACGGCUCACCUAGGCGACGAUCCAUAGCUGGUCUGAGAGGAUGACCAGCCACACUGGAACUGAGACACGGUCCAGACUCCUACGGGAGGCAGCAGUGGGGAAUAUUGCACAAUGGGCGCAAGCCUGAUGCAGCAAUGCCGCGUGUAUGAAGAAGGCCUUCGGGUUGUAAAGUACUUUCAGCGGGGAGGAAGGGAGUAAAGUUAAUACCUUUGCUCAUUGACGUUACCCGCAGAAGAAGCACCGGCUAACUACGUG
rnacentral:rRNA from 1 species